GAAUUUCUAAAUUCUAGGGCUUAUUUGGUUUCUGUUUUAGUCAACCAACACUCACCCCCUCAAGAAUUCAAGUUUCUUUUUCAGUAUGUGUACUUUUCUGAUAAUUGUUCGAAUUAGUGAGAGAAAGCUGAAAGGUAAAUUGGGUUUUUUUAGGAUAGCGAGUAUGAUUUUAUUUUAUUUUAUUUUUUAGUUUGUAAAACUUUUCUUUUUUUUCUUUUUUUUUUUAAUUUGCUGCUCAUUUAUUGCUGUCAAACUAAAUCCGUGAAUUUGAGAGGCCCAUUGAACUUUGUGGCUCAUCGCAUUCAACAUUCCCUUCAAAAUUUUGUGUCAGACCCCUUGAAGAAUCAACAUUAAUACAGAACUCUCUCUCACUCUCUCUCUCAUACCUUCAAUCUUUAUUGUUUUCAUCUUCAGUAAUAUCAUAGCUUCAUUCAAUUGAAAUGUGUGAAGAGAAUAGUCCAAGUACAAAUUAGAACAAGGGACACUCUAUGAAUUGAAGUUUAUGGGUUCUUCUGGGUCUGCAAUUCAAUAUGAAUACUAGGUUAUACAACAUUUUUGCUUCUGGGUACUGAAUAGUGAAGACCGAAUUUGCUUUGAUGGGUGUUCUUCUAAUGAAUUUGGUUUUUUUUUAUUUUAUUUUAUUUUUUUUAAUAUCAGCUGCUUAUGACAAGGAAGGUUUUGACUAAAUUUAGACGUUUUAGGCAUUUUAAUCGGAUGUGUUUUGCUUAUUUUUGAAGUAACUGGGUUUGAUUUCUAUUUGUUGCUCGAAAUUGUCAAGUGGGAAAUUUAGGGGAAAUUUAUGUUCUUCUCGGAUUCUCUUACCUUUUCGGGAAGAAAGCGGGGAUGAAGAGCUUUCUGUUCUUCCUAGGCACACCAAAUUUAUUGUAACAGGAAACUACAGAACAACAGAACAAGGUGUCGUCAAGAAGGCUGUUGGUCUUGGUGGUUGGCAUUGGCUGGUUGGUGAUGAUAUACGGAUGAUGAUCCAAGUUAGGUUUUUUUUCCAAUCAAUUUGUUUCGUAUGAAUAAAAAUUUCAGCGUCGACAACCACCCUCCCUUCGAACUCGCACUCGCAAGAUCAAUUUAUGGCUAUGUCUGGUUUGUCUAUAUGGUUGCAACACCACCACCGCUGCUCAUCAUCACCACUGCCGCUGUUGAUGCAAAACCCACUUCAUGCUCAAACAGAAUGUGUUCAAGGAAAGCUUCAAACCUGGCCAUAAUGCAAAUGAAGAUGUUCACUUGACAGUGAGGAAAUCUACAGCAGAUCUGGCCAUAGAGCAAAUGAAGAUGUUCACUUGAUAGUGAGGAAAUCUACAGCAGGUCUGCAUUUGAAUAUGAGAAAUAUGGGAUUUGUUGUGCCUACACAAAUGGAAAUUAUAGUAUUUUUGGUGCAUGUAUGGUGGUGAAAAAUACAUUGGAAAAUGAGAUUGUAAACUUACAGACUAGGGAAAGCUUCGAGUACCUCUCUUAUAAUGUAAGGCUUAUUUAUUUAUUUAUUUUAAACUUAUCAUAUCUAAUGUUCUUCUUAUAAAUGUUUUGUUCCUCAUACUUUUUAGGUGGAUAGAGACUUGCACCGAACAGUAAUAUCAAGAAAGAAAUGAUUUUUUUUCUUAUUUAUGUAUAUAAAGUUUUUGUAUAUAGAUUCAAUUUCUUCAAAAAAAGAAAUGUUAAUGUUGUUGUUUGCGAUG